GCCAAUGGGGACCACAGAAGACACUUUGCAGUACCAGUAAUAGUCUGAACAAACAAACAAAAAUUAAAACUUUCAACAACGGAUCUCUUGGUUCUGGCAUCGACGAAGAACGCACCGAAAUGCGAUAAGUACUGUGAAUUGCACAAUUCAGUGAAUCAUCUAAUCUUUGAACGCACAUUGCGCCCUUUGGUAUUCCUUAUGGCAUGCCUGUUCGAGCGUCAUUUAAACCUUCAAGCUAAGCUUGGUGUUGGGUGACUGUCCGCUUCACUGCGGGCUCGCCUCAAAAUUAUUGGCGGCCGGUACAUUGGCUUCGAGCGCAGCAUAAACGCGAACUCGGGCCCGUCGUAUUGGCUCCCAGAAGCUAUCUUCACAAUUUUGACCUCGGAUCAUGUAGGGAUACCCGCUGAACUUAAGCAUAUCAAU
rnacentral:rRNA from 1 species